CCCAAUCCACCCAUACAUCCUCCAAUUUUAAGCUCUAUUUCCCUUAAGCCAUGGAUACAUACAACAAUACAUACCUACGCGUCGUCUCCCUCAUAGAAUCGAACGACCCAACAACCCUAAUGGUCUAAUUCCGUUUCCCUCACGCCACCGCGAUUCACAGAGAUUCAACCAGAGUUUGGGGAAGUUCCAUUGAAUCCCAAGUGUAACCCUCGCUAAUUUUGGAUUCCCUCCUCCCACAUUUCCUCUCAAAUCCAUGAGAAAUUGCUUUUCAUCGGAACUCUUGUGUGGUGGAGGAAUUAUUGUUAAGCUGGUCGUCCUGGUCUGGCUGCUCUAGAAAAGGUAAAUCUUUUCUUUAUUCUGUUUCGACUUAAAUAUUUUGGGUGUUCUAAUAUGGAAUCAAGUUCAUAUAUUAAGUUUAUGUUUGAUUCUGUCUUGUAGAAAACUUCUGUUUAAACAUUAUUCCAAUCUUCUUUGUAAUUGUUGGGUCAUUUUCUUUAGUCUGUGAUUUUUAUCAUGUUUAUAAGUUCAUAUGAAUUAAACGCAUCAGACUUUUUAAUGUAGUAUAUUGUCUUCUGUAUAAAUGGUAAAUUCAAUUCU